UGGGGAAUAUUGCGCAAUGGGCGGAAGCCUGACGCAGCGACGCCGCGUGAGGGAUGACGGCCUUCGGGUUGUAAACCUCUUUCAGCUCUGACGAAGCGUGAGUGACGGUAGGAGCAGAAGAAGCACCGGCCAACUACGUGCCAGCAGCCGCGGUAAUACGUAGGGUGCAAGCGUUGUCCGGAAUUAUUGGGCGUAAAGAGCUCGUAGGCGGUUUGUCGCGUCGAAUGUGAAAACCCGGGGCUCAACCCCGGGCCUGCAUUCGAUACGGGCAGACUAGAGUUCGGUAGGGGAGUCUGGAAUUCCUGGUGUAGCGGUGAAAUGCGCAGAUAUCAGGAGGAACACCGGUGGCGAAGGCGGGACUCUGGGCCGAUACUGACGCUGAGGAGCGAAAGCGUGGGGAGCAAACA
rnacentral:rRNA from 1 species